CACAUAAAGGAACAGCUAUCAGCACCUUUGAUGAAGAGUAUCCUUUGCAUUGUUGGAAAGAUCAAAUAGAAAAUACAAGUUCCCCUGGAGAGGUUAUUCACUGCCCAAGACUGAACUCGAGGGAUGGAGAUGGAUCCACACUUCAUUGCACAGUCAAAUCCUGCUUUAUUUUCUGGGGAUGUUGAGUGAGGCCAGCCUUGGCCAGGAAUCAGGACAUAUCUGUCUUCUUCUCUGGAAAUGCAGAGUGAACAUACAAGGAUUUUAGCAGAGCCUGUUACAGCCAGUAACUGGAAAUGAUGAAGUGUUUUCAAGAUCAGCAUUUCAGAUUACUGGUUUAUGAUUGGGCUAGAAAUGAACCAUUUAUUUUAGGCUUGGGCCUUAAAAAAAAUAAAAACUUGAAUGAUUUGUUUUCACAGUU